GAUGAACGCUGGCGGCGUGCCUAAUACAUGCAAGUCGAACGAACAGACGAGGAGCUUGCUCCUCUGACGUUAGCGGCGGACGGGUGAGUAACACGUGGAUAACCUACCUAUAAGACUGGGAUAACUUCGGGACACCGGAGCUAAUACCGGAUAAUAUCUUGAACCGCAUGGUUCAAUAGUGAGAGACGGUUUUGCUGUCUCUUAUAGAUGGAUCCGCGCCGCAUUAGCUAGUUGGUAAGGUAACGGCUUACCAAGGCAACGAUGCGUAGCCGACCUGAGAGGGGGAUCGGCCACACGGGAACUGAGACACGGUCCAGACUCCUACGGGAGGCAGCAGUAGGGAAUCGUCCGCAAUGGGCGAAAGCCUGACGGAGCAACGCCGCGUGAGUGAUGAAGGUCUUCGGAUCGUAAAACUCGGUUACUAGGGAAGAACAAAUGUGUAAGUAACUAUGCACGUAUUGACGGUACCUAAUCAGAAAGCCACGGCUAACUACGUG
rnacentral:rRNA from 1 species